CUAAGAAUAUUCCGCAAUGGACGGAAGUCUGACGGAGCGACGCCGCGUGGAUGACGAAGGCCGAAAGGUUGUAAAGUUCUUUUGCUGGGGAAGAAUAACCGCAGGAGGGAAUGCCUGUGGGAUGACAAGAACCGGCGAAUAAGCCCCGGCCAACUACGUGCCAGCAGCCGCGGUAACACGUAGGGGGCGAGCGUUGUUCGGAAUUACUGGGCGUAAAGGGCAUGUAGGCGGCUUGGAAAGCCUGGCGUGAAAGUCUGCAGCUUAACUGCAGGGGUGCGCUGGGAACUGCUGAGCUUGAGUGACGGAGAGGGAGCUGGAAUUCCUGGUGUAGGGGUGAAAUCUGCAGAUAUCAGGAAGAACACCGAUGGCGAAGGCAAGCUCCUGGCCGAUGACUGACGCUGAGGUGCGAAAGUGUGGGGAUCAAAACAGGAUUAGAUAGCCCUGGUAGUCCACACAGUCAACGAUGUGCACUAGGUGCUGGGGCGGUAGCUUCGGUGCCGGAGCG
rnacentral:rRNA from 1 species